rnacentral:lncRNA from 1 species
GGGCGUUUGUGAUUGGUGGGUUCUGCCGCGGCCGGGAAGUUCGAACAGAAGUCUGGGGAAGAGCCGGCGAAGAGCAAAGAGAUAACACAGUACUCCCAGCUAUAGCAAGCGGCAGUUAUGGAGCAUGCGCAGCAGCAGGGGCGGCCGCAGGUCGCCGUUCAAUAAUACUCAAGGGAUUUGUACAGCCCUGUAGGAGACACCUCCAGAGAAAGUAACAGCUCUCAAUUGAUUAGCUGAGGAGACCGAUUUUGUAAAUCACUACUUUUCUAACAACACUGGCACAGAUGGCCAAGCAUUCUCCCUUUUCUCAGAGCUGGUUUUCCAUCCCGGAAAGAGGACUUACAUAUACAAAGUUACUCUAAUCAGUU